ACCUACGGGACGCAGCAGUGAGGAAUAUUGGUCAAUGGCCGGAAGGCUGAACCAGCCAAGUCGCGUGAGGGACGACUGCCCUAUGGGUUGUAAACCUCUUUUAUAAGGGAAGAAUAAAUGCUACGUGUAGCAUGAUGCCUGUACCUUAUGAAUAAGCAUCGGCUAACUCCGUGCCAGCAGCCGCGGUAAUACGGAGGAUGCGAGUGUUAUCCGGAUUUAUUGGGUUUAAAGGGUGCGCAGGCGGAAGCGCAAGUCAGCGGUAAAAUUGAGAGGCUCGACCUCUUCCCGCCGUUGAAACUGCGUUU
rnacentral:rRNA from 1 species